rnacentral:siRNA from 1 species
AGACCGCUGUACAGAUAUAGACCG